UACGUAGGGUGCGAGCGUUAAUCGGAAUUACUGGGCGUAAAGCGCGUGUAGGCGGCCCGGUAAGUCCGCUGUGAAAGUCGGGGGCUCAACCCUCGGAUGCCGGUGGAUACUGUCGGGCUCGAGUACGGAAGAGGCGAGUGGAAUUCCUGGUGUAGCGGUGAAAUGCGCAGAUAUCAGGAGGAACACCAAUUGCGAAGGCAGCUCGCUGGGACGUUACUGACGCUG
rnacentral:rRNA from 1 species